UUUCUGUUUAGUUCAUCAUUACGAUCUUAUCUCUCUCUCUUUUCCCUGAAGAAACCCUAAAUUAUUCUUCCUCACAAUUCCUCUUAUCUCUCAAGGCGAUUCUUUAUCUUCCAAUAUUCCCUUCAUCAUAUUUGUGUGUUCUUGCACAUCUUCAUUUUCUUCAAGGUAAAGUUGCGGCUCUUCUCCCGAACCCUAAUUUUCAUCGGAAACUUGAUACAGAUCUAUCGCAAACCCUAAAAUUCACAGCUUCUCAUUCACGCUUCUUUCUUAGAAUAAUAUGCUCCAUUCAAAGGUUAGGUGAUCUAGAUUUUUUGGUUCUUCUUCUUUCAAACCCUUAAUCUCCUCUAAAGCUGUGUCUUCAAUAUUCGUUCCUCGCUCUCUGGAUCUCCCUGUAAUUGUGUAUGAUUGAAACAUUGGAGCAUUUGAUUACGGAAUAUGAUCGGGUUCAAGAGCUUUCUUAUUCAAACAGAUAAAACUGAGGUACAACAUCAGAUAGUGCUUUUUGUUGGAAUGACAUGUGGUAUAAUGAUGCUUCUCUUUACAAGGUUCUGGGGAGAAUGGGCACUCACUGGUAAUAACAUCUCUCUUUUCAUUGUCGUGUAAUUGAUGCCUUUAACCCAGGCUAUUGAUAUUGAUAAUAAUUAGACUUAAUUAAAAACACGAGUAUUUUUUUUUGUUUAAAAGUAGUACAAGCAAUAUAAAGGAUCUUGAUCUUUGUAGCACAAAUAACACCAUGUCAAUUUUUAAGUUGCCCAGUGUUGUUUGACUAUCAAAUUUGUCUUUAAAAUUGAAUUAAGCUAUCAUUUUUUUUUGUAAUUUUUCAUUAAUAAUGUUCCAUACUUAAAUAUAAAAGCAGCUUUUUCUGGAGCUAAGAAUGCACAUAUUUUAUCAGCAUCAAACACAUAUGUUCAGGUUCUUUGGAUUCUACAAACUUUUUGCAUAACAAUUACUCUUUUAAACAGCCUAAAAUUAUAAACCAGAAUAGCAAAUACUAAUAUUUAACACAAAUGGAAAAAAUAGGUUACUUUUUUUUAGGGGGGGGGGGGGUGGUGUGUUUUUUAGGUUUUUUUCGGGAGUUUUCGAGUUUUUCGGGAUUAUGUUAUUGGGAGAAAAUUGUUUCUGAUCAGAAGAAAGUCUCGUGUUUACAUGUUGGUGGGAAGACAUAAUGAAAAACCUGGAAUUCUGGCUUCUGGAACUUUUUGAAGAUGGUGUUAAGAUGCUUUUAUGUGCUAGAGAAGUUUUUGUUUGCAACUGGCUUGGUAAGAUUCUUCAAUGCUGAAUUUUAGAAUAAAAGAUUAAUUUUUGUUUUCUCUAUUGCAGGAAAUGAACACUGGUUUGAAUAUACAAGGCUAUGUGUUGUGGACCAAGUUUGGGCCGUCAUAGGAGUGUCACGUUGACGGCAAGAGCGCUGCGGAUGGGGCAUGGGGCCGGUUGAAGGAUUUUUUUUUUAAUUUAUGAUAAUUAUAUAGUAUUCUUAGUUACAUACUUUGCUGUACCAUUCUAGGUCUUCCAUGAAAUGAUCAACUUUAGAGUGGAGCCAAGCGUUCACACAUAUGGUGCACUUAUUGAUGAUUGUGCUAAAGCUUGUCAAGUUGCAAAGACGUUAGGUGCUUUUUGUAUUAUAAGGUCAAAGGAGGGCGACAAUGUUGACCCAACCGAGAGGUUCGGAUAAUUAGAAAAAAAAAGGGUGUUGUGCUGGCGCACGAACGGGCAAUUAAUGGAUGGAUAUGUGUCUUCGAUCUUCAUGUUAGUCAAGUUACGAUAAAGGACGGUUUAUAGCAUUGGCAUUUGGAAAACGACCCUCGUAUUUUUUUUUUCCGCGUAGGGCCUCCAAAAUGGUCAGGCUAGCGAUGAUGAGAACAAUUGAUACUGUAUGAUAUUGUGAUCAGGCGUAAGCUGGACUUUCAUCUCCUGGGAGUUAUUGAAGGCCUCCUUCAGAGUCAACAGUAGUAGCUAGAGUUAUUGUUUCUGUUGGUCAACAUGGUAGCCUCCUUCGAAGUCAACAACACCAAUUCAAGUUGCAAUACCUGCUGGUCAAUGUGAUACGCCUCCUUCAGAGUCAACAGCAGCAGCCGGAGUUACGACUUCUGUAGGCUAACAUGGAACUUCUACACUGUCUUAAUGCUCAAUAGGGUCAAAUGGUAGAGCUCGCCAGUUAAGAAGCAAAGGUUACGAUAGGGGCCGGAGUAAUCCAGCGAAACUGGGGUGGUCAGCUGGUUUGGUUGACGGAUCAAAAUGUGUUCGGGUCAGAAGUCGUCCAACCCGUUUUUGAACAGAACAGUUUUGGGUCAAAUCAAUUUAUGAAAGAAAUGAGUUGAGGGUCAGCGUUUCGGGUAAUAAAAUACGUUCGGGUCUAAACGGGUACGAAAGAAAUGAGUUACUGGUAAGGGUUUAGGGUAACAAAACAGGUUCAGGUCAUAGCUUAAUUAGCGUAGUUGUUUUGGAGGAAAAAAAAAACCAUGUUGUUUUGGGUCCAAAUGGGUAAGGGCAAUAUGGAGUUGGCCUAGAAAAAGGUAAAAAAAAAUAGAUCCAUUUGCUUUUUUUUUGUGGUGGCAACUGGCGAUGGUGGUAGUCUUAUUCUACUUUUUUUAACAAAUCAAUUUUUCACAUAUAUUGUGUUUGUCUGUU